UGGAACCUGGAGAGGCUGUAGGGAAGUAAUCGGGAUCAGAUGAGGUCUCAGGAAUGGGGUCUCCUAGGACGACCUCAGGGGAAAAGCUUACCGUAGCUCCCUUCCCAUGUUAGUGUGUAGCACAAGGCCCCUGGCAGGCGCCAGAGCCAUGCCUCCAACAGCUGUGGGCUGAACACAUUACCAUUACUAUUUCGUUCUUUGUCACUCACUUAGUCUCGGGAUUUUUGUUAUGAAAAAAGAAAAAUGGACUAAGGUACACGUUCACCAAUUGAAAGGAAUAAAAUGAAGCCAAAUCCCAGCCAAAUCCUUCACUGCACCAGGACAGCUCUGGAUUGUGCAACCCAGUUUCCUCCUGGUGGUCUGGGUGCAUUCUUCCCACUGUCUCCCAGCAGCAAGCGCAUCCGACGUGCUCGAGGGUAGAUUAUGACUUCUCUUCAACUGGCUCCUAGAUGAGGGAACUUAUGAUCAGAGAGGUGAUCCUGUAGCUCCAGCAUUGCCUGGGGUGGAAUGAACAGCCCCUUCUCAGCAGCAUCCAUUCUUACGGGUUAUCAAGAGGUAAAAGAGCAGCCCAGGGUUAGGACCAUGCUCAUCAGACCAGACUACUUUCAAAGCGAC
rnacentral:lncRNA from 14 species